UACGGAGGGUGCAAGCGUUAUCCAGAUUCACUGGGUUUAAAGGGUGCGUAGGUGGGUCUGUAAGUCAGUGGUGAAAUCUCCGAGCUUAACUUGGAAACUGCCAUUGAUACUAUAGAUCUUGAAUACUGUGGAGGUCAGCGGAAUAUGUCAUGUAGCGGUGAAAUGCUUAGAUAUGACAUAGAACACCAAUUGCGAAGGCAGCUGGCUACACAAAUAUUGACACUGAGGCACGAAAGCGUGGGGAUCAAACAGG
rnacentral:rRNA from 1 species